rnacentral:rRNA from 1 species
UACGUAGGGGGCAAGCGUUGUCCGGAAUCAUUGGGCGUAAAGAGCGUGUAGGCGGUUCGGUAAGUCGGCUGUGAAAGUCCAGGGCUCAACCCUGGGAUGCCGGUCGAUACUGCCGGACUAGAGUUCGGAAGAGGCGAGUGGAAUUCCCGGUGUAGUGGUGAAAUGCGUAGAGAUCCGGAGGAACACCAGUGGCGAAGGCGACACGCUGGGCCGUACCUGACACUGAUGCGCGACAGCAUGGGGAGCAAACAGG